GACGAACGCUGGCGGCGUGCUUAACACAUGCAAGUCGAACGCUGAAGCUCAGCUUUUGUUGGGUGGAUGAGUGGCGAACGGGUGAGUAACACGUGAGUAACCUGCCUCCUUCUUUGGGAUAACGCCCGGAAACGGGUGCUAAUACUGGAUAUUCACUGGUCUUCGCAUGGGGGUUGGUGGAAAGGGUUUUUCUGGUGGGGGAUGGGCUCGCGGCCUAUCAGCUUGUUGGUGGGGUGAUGGCCUACCAAGGCUUUGACGGGUAGCCGGCCUGAGAGGGUGACCGGUCACAUUGGGACUGAGAUACGGCCCAGACUCCUACAGGAGGCAGCAGUGGGGAAUAUUGCACAAUGGGCGCAAGCCUGAUGCAGCGACGCCGCGUGAGGGAUGGAGGCCUUCGGGUUGUGAACCUCUUUCGCUCAUGGUCAAGCCGCAACAAUGGUUGUGGUGAGGGUAGUGGGUAAAGAAGCGCCGGCUAACUACGUG
rnacentral:rRNA from 1 species